GGGGAAGCCAGCCACCAUGUCAUGAGGAAACUCAGGCAGCCUUAUGAAGAGGCCCACACAGUGGGGAAAUGAUACCUCAUCCCAGCAGAAGCCCUAACUUGCCAAGCAUGUGAGGCACCAUGUUGGAACCAAUCCUCCAGCCCCAGCCAAGCCUUCAAAAGACCACAGUCACAGUGGAAAUUCUAAUUGCAGCAUCUCAUGAGAGACCCCAACAGGUAAGUAGCCCCCCGUUCCUGACCCAAAGAAAUCAUGUGAGGUCAUAAAUAUUUAUUGCAGUUUGUUAUACAGAAAUAGGAAAGUAAUACACAAUCUAGAAAAAGCUGGCCUGAAGAUAUACUUCAGCUCAUCAACUGCAAUGCAGAAGUACGCCACGGCUGGAGUUUGGCACUGCCCAGUUCUAAGUAUGUGAAGGAGGGCCCGCCGGGGGAUGUGCUGCCCCUCCUCUACGCCAUUCAUGGCUGAGGCCAAGAUUACUCAGAGUCCGGUGGGGAUAAUUCAUCUCUGCUCCACUAGAUGUCAGCUGGACUAAGGCUGAAGGAUCCACUUCCAAGAAGGCCCCGUCCCAUGACUGGCAAAUUCCUCUCCAGUUCUUCUCUGGACUCCUUCCCACCUCGGCUCCUAAACCCACAGGCUGAGGAAGUCGUGUGCAGCCACGCUGGUCAUUUCCCAAGCCCCCCGCCCUGUCAGCUUACUGGCAGCCUGUGCCCAGCAUUCCAGGCCAACAUCAGGUUCCAGAGGACUUAAGAGUAUGCACUGCCUCUGCGUGGAUGACCCACAGGGGUAAAUACACCCAGCCACCUGGAGAUAUCUGACUUCCCCAGGCAUCCUAAGUCAGCCACAGGUCUCUCCAACUCAAGCACUCAAACCAAAGUUGAUUGUUGUUAUUAUCUGAUCCACCUUGGAAUAAAAACAAACAGAAGCCAGCUGCUCUCUGGUAAGUGGUGCUCAGGGAUGGCACCGUACAGCCACCCAAGACAGAAGCCUCGGGGCUCCUCCCCGGCUCUCUCCACCUGCCACAUCAGCCAGGGGCGCAGCUCUCCUCUUAACCCUCAGCCCCUGUCCUUGUGGUGUCCCCGUGCGUACACCCAAAGUAUCAUCCUAGGUAAAUGCUCUCUUCCCCAAGCUGGUCUCUCUGCUUCCAUUGUGUGUAUCAUCUGCACCCGUAAGGCAAAGAAAAAGAAAAUAUAAAAAUCAGAUCAUAGCACCUCCCUUACUUAAAACCCUCUGUUGUUUCGCAGUGCAGAGCAAACUACAGGUUGUCUACAGAAGCUGCUGUUUUCUCUAGUGGACAGUGCCUGCAACAACUUCAUUUAAGUCAACGAAUGAGAUCACUAAUCAGAGUAGAACUGAUCAGAUCCAGUGUCCUCCUUAAACUGGUGUCUCCAGCACCAGGCCUUGGCAAGUUAGGUCCUUGUCUCCCUCACCGCUCACACAGCUUCAGGAAGCGGGUCCUUCUAGUGGCCCCAUCUCACAGGCAAUGAAACAAAGGGUCAGAGAGGUGAAGAAGCUUGCUGAAGACACGUAAGUAGCAGAGCCGGCAAAUCAAU
ensembl:lncRNA